GCCUGGCUGGCUCAGUUGGAGGAGCUUGAGACUCCAGAUCUCAAGGUGGAGAGUUCAAGUCCCAUGUUGGGUG
rnacentral:tRNA from 1 species